CGAAUCAACAUUAGACGCAUUUAACUGCUUUCAGUUCAGUUACUGCAAAUAGCCAAUAAUAACUGUUUCUACUGUCCGCUAGGAACUGGGCAUAAUGUAUCAGGGUUGCAAUGAUUCCUUAUUCUUGAUAGUCAGUUUACACAAACGCUCGAUGAUCUGCAUUAUAUUCCCGUGGAUUAGCCUACAUUGUAUUUUAACUGAAAGACGUUAUGGAGAAACGGACAUCAGAAAAGGCCUUGAAUAAACAACGCAUUUAUCAUCUUCAUGGCAACGUAGAUUUUAAUACAGAGGAUAUUCAGCACUGGAAAGAGAGAUUACCACGUUCAAGGCUCAGAAACAUAAGGUGUGUCUUAUUUUGAAGGCUGCGUCCUCUGGAGGUUGCAUUCUCUGAAUGAUGCAUAUAUGGAGUGUCCUUAACCCAGAAUUAAAUGAAGAUUAAAAUAUUAAACAUUAAUUUCAUAAAACUAAAUGUAGAAAUCAAUUGAUGACGUAUGCAGCUUUCGAAUGUGACCUCUGGAGGGCACAGCCUUCUAAAUGUGGCACAGCUAUAGUAAGGACUUUUAAAUAGUCCAUGUGACAUCAGUGGUGUUUUAAUGAUGUCCUUACAACCUUGAACAACCUUGGGCCUUGAACAUGGUUGCUGUCUAGGCAGGGCCAGAAAGGUCUCGGAUUCCAUCCAAAAUAUCUUCAUUUGUAUUCCGAAGAUGAACAAAGGUCUUACGGGUUUGGAAUGUCAGGAGGGUGAGUAAUUAAUGACAGAAUUGUUAUUUUUGUAUGAAGUAUCCCUUUAAUUAUAGCAUUAGCAGAGGCUGUAACUCCACCUGUGUUUUUAUUAAACCAGAUAGUGCUGAUGUGUCAUUAGAACUGCAGGACAAAUGCAUACCAAUCUGUGAGGUGGAGACCAUAUGGUUCAUUUUUUAAUGAAAGCUUUUUAUAAUAAGAUUUUUAUAUUAGAGUGAUAACAAAACUCCUCCUACAGUUUCAUCAUUUGUAUCCACCAUUCCUUCCUUGUGAAAAAAAGAAAAGAAAAAAAGACUUGUUAUUCUAGGUUAUUUAGGUGAAAACCACUAAUAUGGCCCCCCCGCAGGGCUGUGUUAGUUUACUCAUUUUGUUUACGUUAUAUAGUAAUGAGUGUGUUUCAUGUCAGGACAAUAUUUUUUUUAUUACAUUUUCAGACGAUACAGCUAUACUGAGUUUAUUGAACAGCAAUACUUCUCCUUCGCAGUACUUUUUUAGAAGUUGCUAGAUUUGUAGGAUGGUGUGAUGAUAAUUCUUUGAUUUUAAAUGAAACAAAGACCGUUGAAAUGAUCUUUGACCCUAGAUCUGUGGGGGAUAAUAGUCCUGUAAUAAUACAUGGAAAAAUUAUUAAACAGGUUUGAUCGUAUAAAUACUUGGGUGUUUAUUUGGACAAUUCGUUAUGCUGGUCUUCUUACAUCAACAGUCUGUGCUCUAGAUUGCAGCAGAGGUUAUAUUUUUGUGACGGUUAACAGUAUUUGGGGUAAAUCAGAAGAUUUUAUUUCUGUUCUGUCAGUCUGUAUUUGAGAGUUUAAUAAGAUAUGAUAUUACUGCAUGGUAUAGAAACUUGACACAUUUUUUAUAUGAGAAUUUUAUUUUGUUACCCUCAUGGAGCCGUUCGAGGACUUUGAUGUGCCAAUCAAAUCACUACAAAAAUUAUUUUGUGCCAACUGCAGUUAAAUUAUUUAAUAGAGAUUUGCAAUAAUUAGAUGCUUUAUUGAUAUACUAUAGCUUUUAAUUUGAGUUUGUGUGAGUAUAUACAGUACAGGUCAAAAGUUUGGAAACAUUACUAUUUUU
ensembl:lncRNA